UCCAGGUUCACUGACACACACCCAUGUUCCCUGACAGCCUCCCAAGGGAAUGCUGCAUCUGUGGCAGCAACACCACGUCUCUGUGCAGGCUCACUACUGCAAAAACAGAAGGGAUGAGGUUCCAUGGAGGUGGUUUACAAGGUGAGAGAGGAUGGCAGAACAAGGUAAAGAAAAGUGCUAAUACCAGUUUUGUUGUUUAAUAUUCAUCUUUGCUCUGUUUCAGAACUUUUGCAUAGCAGUGGCUCUGUAUGAGAAUUUCUGGUUAUGGCUGUGAAAAUAUUGCUGCUACUUUUUUAUAUCUACUUCGUGGGAGUUUAGCUGGUCUCAGACAACACUGGCUGCAAUCUUUUCAUCUCAACAGAUUCGCUGUGGGAAAGCUAUUGGCACAAAACUGAUUUCUGUGUUUCA
rnacentral:lncRNA from 1 species